CGAUGCCAUUGGCCGAGCUCCCAGCAUCCUUUGCAGCCUCCGCGUUGGCCGAGUUCCCAGCAUCCUUUGCAGAGAUGCCAUUGGCCAGGCUCCCAGCAUUCUUUGCAGCCUCCAAGUUGGCCGAGCUCCCAGCGGCCUUUGCAGCGAUGCCAUUGGCCGAGCUCCCAGCAUCCUUUGCAGCCUCUGUGUUGGCCGAGCUCCCAGCAUCCUUUGCAGCGAUGCCAUUGGCCGAGCUCCCAGCAUCCUUUGCAGCCUCUGUGUUGGCCGAGCUCCCAGCAUCCUUUGCAGCCUCCAAGUUGGCCGAGCUCCCAGCAUCCUUUGCAGAGAUGCCAUUGGCCGAACUCCCAGAAUCCUUUGCAGCCUCUUGGACAGCCAACAUCCCAGCAUCCUUUGCAGCCUCCGCAUUGGCCGAGCUCCCAGCAUCCUUUGCAUCCUCUUGGACAGCCAAACUCCCAGCAUGCUUUGCAGCCUCUAGGUUGACCGAACUCCCAGAGUCCUUUGCAGCGAAGCUAUCAGCCAGAUUCCCAUCAUCCUUUGCAGCCCCUGAGUUGGUCGAGCUCCCAGCGUCCUUUGCAGCCCCUGAGUUGACUGAACUCCCAGCAUCCUUUGCAGCGAUGCUA
rnacentral:lncRNA from 1 species